rnacentral:rRNA from 1 species
GACAGAGGGUGCAAACGUUGCUCGGGAUCACUGGGCGUAAAGGGCGUGUAGGCGGGAAGGAAAGUCAGAUGUGAAAUCCCUGGGCUCAACCCAGGAACUGCAUUUGAAACUCCCUUUCUUGAGUGUCGGAGAGGAAAGCGGAAUUCCUGGUGUAGAGGUGAAAUUCGUAGAUAUCAGGAGGAACACCGGUGGCGAAGGCGGCUUUCUGGACGACAACUGACGCUGAGACGCGAAAGCGUGGGGAGCAAACAGG